rnacentral:lncRNA from 1 species
GUCGCGUCAGAGCAGAGCUGUCGUUCGUCCAGAUGCAGGUCCAGUCCUUGUCGGUGGUGUUGACUGUAGAGCACGCUGUGCUCUGAUCUGGGCUGCUAGCACAUUGGCUCAUGCUUUGUGCCGUUCUACGGCGAUCAUUCCAUUUGGACUGGUCAAGUCGUUUCGGGGUUGUCAAGGUGAGUGUGUCCUGAGUUCUGACCAGGACCCGGCGAACAGAACCAAAAUACUGGGCACGGUGUCUUACUAAACACAAAAUAAACGAAGUCGGUGAAGCUCGUCUUAGCGUCAAGUCUUGGCAGAUCUGAGAGAAGGAAAAGGAAAAUAAAUUGAAAGCCCGGCGAAUAUUCAAAGGUUUUUCCUUUAAAAGAAAACACGAACUCCAAGGCGAGCCAGAGCUUUCAGCAUCUUCCUCCAGCCAACCGCUUUCCCUAUGCAAUAUUCUCUCCCUCGCGGUCGCCUCCCUCUCGCUUCCGGUGGCGGCCUGCAAGCUGCCAGUCUGCACGGCAGGAGUCGCAGGACUGAGCAAGGAGCCAAGGAGAUGGGAGGAGAACAGAGAAGAAGCGGGCAACUGGACGUCUGGAUGGACGGCAUUAAAGACAUCCAUCACCCAACCGCAGCACCUUGAAAGGCCUAGUAGAAGUGAUGCAGGGAUCACAAUCCGAACAAUCAGCACAGCACAGAAUGGAAUACUAAGCACGAAACAAAGAACAUGUUGUCGGAAUAACAUUUUUCUUAACAACAAAAACAACAGGUUACUGACUGCACUAAAAAGGGCUGGUAAGAGUUCGGGACUACAAGUGGUUGAGGAUCUGGACGAGCAGGAGGAGGACACCAGGAUCUCGUGCUCCUCCCCGCACAUUCCAUCGUCGACCACGGGCUUUCCUGACUGAUGGUUCUUUCUACAAGGGACAUGAAACGGAAUCAAGCUAGACGAUGUCAAACUAACCAGAUGAGUAACUCUAAAGAAGCUGCUACUGCUGCUGCUCCAUGACUACACAGGGAAAUGGAAACCGUAUGUACAGUUUCAGUGCUGUAAGCUUUACUUCUCCAUGACCAUGGCGUCCCCCGUGUAGGUCUCGUCGCGGGCACCGGGGCAUGCGACGGCGGCCGCGCUCUCAGAGGGCACUAGCUCGUCGGCGGUGUCCACCAGGCAGAGCUCCUCCACGGCAACGAGCCGCCGGCGGAGGUCGGCCAUGUCGCGCUCCAUCAGGAAGAGGCGCUCCCGGAGGGUCAGGUUCUCCUCCUCCAGCCUCGCGGCGCGCGCCUCGUCGUCCUCCUCGCCCAGGGCGGCCGAGGCCGCGGCCGCGGCCGGGAGGUGGACCAUCUCGAAGCGGCUGAGGUCGUGGUCCAGGCGGCGCUCCACCUCGACGUGCUCCUCCACCUCGCUCUCGCCGGAGCCCGAGUCGUCGCCGCCGGCGUCCCCGGCGUCGGCGCGCAGGCGGAUGAGGCCCUUCAUGGACCCGUACCCGUCCACGCCCCACGCCUCCUUGGCCAUCUCCACCAGCACCUCCCGCGCCGGCGACAGCACGGGGGUCGGAAGCACCGCCGGCGUCACGGGGCACGGCGACACCAGCGACGCCACGCCCCCCGCCCGCUUCGCACGGAUGAGGAACGACGUCGUGUUGCGCGGGGCCGCCGCGCCGCCCCACCUGCCGCCGACCGACGCCGGCGGCGCCGGCGGCUGCGCCUUGCGCUUCCAGGGCGUCCGCGCCGCCCGCUUCCACGCCUGCCGCGCCGGCUUGAACGCGGCCACCGGAGGCUCCAUCGCCGGCACCGCCGCCCACAUCUGGUGGAACGGCAGCGGCGCCGUAGGUCGCAUCAUCUGCUCAUUCAUGGUCUGACUCGGAAGUCGGGAGAACUAAUUCUCCAGAUCCGAAACCCUAUAUCACUGAAUCACAAGCCAAAGCACGCCGAAGUAUCACACGAUUAGCCCCGAGACCUGAUCACAGGAUCUGAACGUUCUCGUUUUAAUCCCUUCGAUCCAGUCAAUCGUGUGUUUUCUGAGAUUAUUUAACGAAUUCGUUCGACGCGAAUUUGGGGAGGGGGGAAGAGGUGGAGAGAAGGAAGAAAGAAAAGAAACAGCGUAUCGUAGGAAGAAAGGGCCACGCCCACACGCGGGUACGCGGGUAUAUAAAGAGGAGAGAGGUGGGAGGGAGGCCGUCGGCUGGAUCCGGAGUCGCGGACUACGGACGGCUAGCACUAGCAGGGAGGCGUCCGAGCGGUUGCGUGUCGUGGAUGGACAGCACGGGCUGUGCCGCCAUGGGACGACAACUUUCUGGGCGCUACGAAGCAAACGGCAAAAGGCGCACGGUUUUCCAUUUGUAUCGGUUUUUUAUGGGGAGAACUGCCGUUUAAUUGAUUUAUAAAAAAUGCUUUCGUUUCGAUUUUGUUGCGUUCUCAAUGUGACGACAGCUUGUUGUUUAACUAGUGCACUAGUGCAAUUUGUUCGCUUUACUAAGUUAUUACAUGUCUUAAUGUUAGAAAUAUAGGCAUUUUCCGUAUUAUUUUAAUUCCAUAAAUUAACAUUAUGAUGAUGACAUAUAAUAGAUAAUCAAACAUAGAUAACAUAAUCUCAAAAAUAUCCAUAACAAUAUGGAUCAUGAGAACACAAAGCAUAUGAAGCAUGUAAAUCAUAUAAAUAAAAUAAGUAUAUAAACAUGGUUCAUGGAUUAUUGCGGAACAACUGGAAAUAAACAGAUAAUAAUAUAAACAGGAUGACUGUAAAAUUAAGACAGACAGAUAUAACAUAUUAUAAUACGAUAGAACAAAACUACAUACGACAUAUAUAAUAUGCAGAAUAUAAAACUGUAAUGAACUGAAUUGAUCAUACCCUCCCAUGCGCUCCGAGGAUCCUGAUCCUUGUCCAAUUUCUUUUGUCAUCCGAUCGAGAUGAAGACAGCAAGAACAACAGACGUUGGGCAGUCGCGUAGACGCUCCCCAAAAACCUAAUUGUCGAUCCCCCGUGCAAGGUCUCGAACGGCACCGGCUUCGGAGGCACCUGCCCUCUCGCUUCUCUGUGCGCGCAGAGUCACGAGAUGGAAAUACCCUCACUCGGUGGCUGGACUGUGAGACUGAAAGUGUUUCUCGCGUGUACCGAGUGACAGGGGUGCUCCUCUAUUUAACCUCUCGCAGAGGGAAGCUGAAGGAGAAAGGUCGCCGAGUCACGCCAAGAGUCGACCAGCUCUAGCCGAGUUAUGCCAUGAGUCGGCCAGCUCUCGCCGAGUCACGCCAUGAGUCGGCAGCUGAAGGAGAAGGGUCACUCGGCUGGCUGACGAAGAGACAGGGUCACUCGGCAGACGAAGAGACAGAGUCACUCGGCUGACGUACGCGGUUAGUGAGUGCUAAAAAUUAACACAACCACACCACGCCCGCUCGCCUGCCUCGCCACGCCACGCCCGGCCCGGCCCGGCCGGCGGCGGCGGCGGCGCGCGCGCGCGCGUGUGGCACGCCCUUGUCCAUUUCUUGACUUCUCUGGAUAAGUGGAAUAAAUCCCACCAUAUAAGUCAAGGCAAAAGACCCUUGGACUUCCAAUGUGGUACUAUUGGUAUUCUCCACCAUUACACACCAUAGAGUUUAUUCAAUAAAUGGGCCAAGCCCAUAAAAGAUCCAACAAUCCCCACCAAACUCUAGGGUUUGUAACGAUGAAGUAUCAGAAUCACAAUCCUUUGAUAUACCAGUGUUUCGAUGGAGACUGUUAAGUUGAACAUCCAUCUAGAAUAAGAGUUUCACUCAUUCACAACUGAACAAUGGACUAUGCCUUGAAUUGACAGUUUUGUGCGAAAUAAGAUUCACUCAAAUCCUUUGCUGAUACUAGGCUGCAAAAGGGUAUUCCCGCUGUUUAGAAGCAUAUAAGUCACACUUCAGUGCCUUUCAUGAGUAUUUAGGGAUUACCCAAGUCCCAUAGACUGUGACUAACAGUCUGACUCAUAUAGGUGUAUUCCUCAGAAGAUGUUCUGUAGGACAACAUCUCACCUUUAUAAGACUCUUGGAAUACAUUAAGGUAAAAACCAUCCUGCCUUACAGAUAGGAAAGAUGUGCAUCAGAAAUGAGUUAAAGAAGGGAUCUUUCCUCACAAUCUACUCCUAGCUUGUUUCUCCACUCUACUUCACGGGAUCUCCGAUCACAUAGAGCAGGUUACCACUAGAGUAGAUCUCACAUGGGUCUCAUACCCAUUUCCCUCGAUGCACUUUCUAUCACAUUGCGUGAUAGACCCUUAGUGAAUUGAUCUGCCAGAUUAUUCGAUGUGUGGACAUAAUCCACAGUAAUAACUCCGGAGUUUUUCAACUUUCUGACAGAUUUCAAUCUCCUCUUAACAUGCCUUGUAGACUUCAUGUUAUUCCUAGAACUGUUAACCUUUGUAAUCACCGUUUGGUUGUCACAGUUCAUGGAAAUAGACGAUAUCGGUUUUUCAACUAUGAAAGGAUCACGAUGCCCAAGAGGGGGUGAAUUGGGCUUUUCUAAAAAUCAACACAACACUAAUUAAAACCUAAGCAAGAGCUAAACAAGAGCCCAACUUCACCCCAACAACUAGCACUAAGCAAAUAAUACUAGAAAUGUAACAAAGCUAAGAUAAUACUUCAAAUACUUGCUAAACAAAUACACAAUGUAAACAAAGCUAAGAUAAUACUUCAAAUACUUGCUAAACAAUACACAANNNNNNNNNNNNNNNNNNNNNNNNNNNNNNNNNNNNNNNNNNNNNNNNNNNNNNNNNNNNNNNNNNNNNNNNNNNNNNNNNNNNNNNNNNNNNNNNNNNNAAAGGUGGAGAUAAGAUGCUUAUCUUACUGCCAAUGGUGAUAAAAAGCAACGUCAACUCACAUCUAUUUUUAUUGUAUCGUUCCAUCAUCACUUCCAGAAUCCAUUUGUAUACAGUGUAUACGACCGGUUUGCUUCGCUCUUUGGAAGAGAAAGAGCCACACACGAUCGAACCGUUUGGAGUUUGCAUCGCAUCAACGGCCACGCGCGCGGGCACACUAACGGCAUUAUUAUUGGUUUUUUUUUUUUGUUUGGAGCUUGGAUUCGUCGCGUCAGAGCAGAGCUGUCGUUCGUCCAGAUGCAGGUCCAGUCCUUGUCGGUGGUGUUGACUGUAGAGCACGCUGUGCUCUGAUCUGGGCUGCUAGCACAUUGGCUCAUGCUUUGUGCCGUUCUACGGCGAUCAUUCCAUUUGGACUGGUCAAGUCGUUUCGGGGUUGUCAAGGUGAGUGUGUCCUGAGUUCUGACCAGGACCCGGCGAACAGAACCAAAAUACUGGGCACGGUGUCUUACUAAACACAAAAUAAACGAAGUCGGUGAAGCUCGUCUUAGCGUCAAGUCUUGGCAGAUCUGAGAGAAGGAAAAGGAAAAUAAAUUGAAAGCCCGGCGAAUAUUCAAAGGUUUUUCCUUUAAAAGAAAACACGAACUCCAAGGCGAGCCAGAGCUUUCAGCAUCUUCCUCCAGCCAACCGCUUUCCCUAUGCAAUAUUCUCUCCCUCGCGGUCGCCUCCCUCUCGCUUCCGGUGGCGGCCUGCAAGCUGCCAGUCUGCACGGCAGGAGUCGCAGGACUGAGCAAGGAGCCAAGGAGAUGGGAGGAGAACAGAGAAGAAGCGGGCAACUGGACGUCUGGAUGGACGGCAUUAAAGACAUCCAUCACCCAACCGCAGCACCUUGAAAGGCCUAGUAGAAGUGAUGCAGGGAUCACAAUCCGAACAAUCAGCACAGCACAGAAUGGAAUACUAAGCACGAAACAAAGAACAUGUUGUCGGAAUAACAUUUUUCUUAACAACAAAAACAACAGGUUACUGACUGCACUAAAAAGGGCUGGUAAGAGUUCGGGACUACAAGUGGUUGAGGAUCUGGACGAGCAGGAGGAGGACACCAGGAUCUCGUGCUCCUCCCCGCACAUUCCAUCGUCGACCACGGGCUUUCCUGACUGAUGGUUCUUUCUACAAGGGACAUGAAACGGAAUCAAGCUAGACGAUGUCAAACUAACCAGAUGAGUAACUCUAAAGAAGCUGCUACUGCUGCUGCUCCAUGACUACACAGGGAAAUGGAAACCGUAUGUACAGUUUCAGUGCUGUAAGCUUUACUUCUCCAUGACCAUGGCGUCCCCCGUGUAG